AAACUGCUAGUCACAUACCAUAACUCUGUAGCAGAGGCCAUACAAGCACAUGCUCCAGGCCACACAAGAACCCAUAACUCUGGUCACACAGACAACAUCUACACACAGAGGUCACACAAGGGCAUGUAGGUCACACAGACGCCUCGGAGGGUCAUCACUCCUCCCAACGUUGGCUGCUGGCCCGGUCACACAUACACCAACACAGCCAUCAAACAACACCGACACACCACACAAGUAUGAGCCAGGGACCUAUCAGUGCUAUUAUAUCAAACAAUAAUAACAAGCACCAAACAAUAAUCACUUUUAAUAGUAAUCUUUCCGUUUAACUAAUGCACAUUCGUUUGAUACCAAAUUGUAACAAAAAGGAUAUUAAACAGGUUAACAAACAAGCAGUCCAUAUAAUAGGGUUCCAUAAGUUUAAGUUCAAUGCAGUUUACUUGUGUAACAUUCCACUAGCAACCAUCAUUCAUUAACAAUCACUCACUCAACAGAGAUCCAUGUCCUAACAAUCAUCUAUAAACCCUAG
rnacentral:lncRNA from 1 species